rnacentral:rRNA from 1 species
CCCCUAGAUGUUCUGGGCCGCACGCGCGCUACACUGAACAGUUCAACAAGUCUUAACCUUGGCCGACAGGUCUGGGUAAUCUUUGAACGCUGUUCGUGAUUGGGAUAGACCUUUGCAAUUAUGGGUCUUCAACGAGGAAUUCCUAGUAAACGCAAGUCAUCAGCUUGCAUUGAUUACGUCCCUGCCCUUUGUACACACCGCCCGUCGCACCUACCGAUUGAAUGGUCCGGUGAAAUCUCGGGACGGCGGCUUGGUCGCUUGCGUCCGACUGCUGAAACUUGAUUAAACCAUAUCAUUUAGAGGAAGGUGAAGUCGUAACA